AAGUCGUAACAAGGUUUCCGUAGGUGAACCUGCGGAAGGAUCAUUAUCACGUUAUCCACGUAUCAACCAUUUGUGAACCGUACUCCAACCUCUGGUCUUUUUUUCGUUUGUGUUGCCUUCGGGUGAUGCGAAUGGGGGAGGAUCAGAGCGUAUUAACCCUUUUUCAUAUUAACCAUUCUAACCAAAUCUUUAUAACUUCAUGGACUAAUCUUUAUUUGAUACUCUUCGGAGAUAAAAUUCAUUACGAAACAAAGAACAACUCUUAGCAACGGAUAUCUUGGUUCUCGU
rnacentral:misc_RNA from 1 species